UCUAUAAUAAUGACCCAUGUUACCAGGUCUUGUUUCUAGUCUAAACAGUUCUAUAAUAAUGACCCAUGUUACCAGGUCUUGUUUCUAGUCUAAACAGUUCUAUAAUAAUGACCCAUGUUACCAGGUCUUGUUUCUAGUCUAAACAGUUAUAUAAUAAUGACCCAUGUUACCAGGUCUUGUUGCUAGUCUAAUCAGUUAUAUAAUAAUGACCCAUGUUACCAGGUCUUGUUUCUAGUCUAAACAGUUAACUCUUUUUCUUUCCAGCGGGAUUUGCCUUUUAUAUAAUUUCACAAAUCAUGUCGCGUGCUGCUUUAAACUAGUCCCGGGUCACUAAUUAUUGGUUUGAUAACAAUCAACAUAGUUCAGUCACUUUACCUAGCUAGCUAACUAUCUGGUAACUUGACCGUAGGUCUAAGCAAAUUUUAUUGGCACUGAAAGAUAGGAAAAGGGUCUGCUACUCAUGAAAUGUGAUUCAUAUAGUUGUGAUUCAUAUAGUUGUGAUUCAUAUGAUGUGAUUCUUAUAGGUGUUAUUCAUAUAGGUGUGAUUCUUAUAGGUGUGAUUCAUAUAGGUGUGAUUCUUAUAGGUGUGAUUCAUAUAGGUGUGAUUCAUAUAGGUGUGAUUCAUAUAGGUGUGAUUUAUAUAGGUGUGAUUCUUAUAGGUGUGAUUCUUAUAGGUGUGAUUCAUAUAGGUGUGAUUCAUAUAGGUGUGAUUUAUAUAGGUGUGAUUCAUAU